rnacentral:lncRNA from 1 species
GCCCCUAGGCCCGGCCGCGCGACGCGCGUGCUCCUUCCCUGGCUCCCCGCCCUGUUUUCCCUCACCCUCCUGGGAACGUAACGCGGGGUUCGCAGCAUCUGGGCGCCUACCGGGGCGCGUCGACACAGGGUCUAGCAAGAAGAGUGACUCGGAGCUACAGUGGUAAUUCGGCGCUGAAGCCAAGUCGAAGACGCGGAGUGUACACACGGCCCUGCGGCCACUGGAGGGGAGCGCCAGGGCAGCUCUGGCAAGAGGCGGUAGGUGGGAGCGAGUCGAGGCGGCGUUUGUCUCCUUCUGCUUGCCGUAGGAAGUGGAGUGCUGGAAGCCUAAAGAGCGACUCGCCUCUUUCCCAAACCUUACAGUCGCCCCACCCCCUCCUUCGCGGCCCGUUACAGGAAUCCGGCCACCGCCACCACCGUAGGGAGUACUUGGGGGUUGUCUGUAGAGUCACGGCUGCAGUGGGCAGCCUUUGUCCAAGGGACGUUCGAUUUUCUCCUCGCCCUUAGCUUUUGUGCCGCGGAGAGGCAGUGCGCUGCUAAGAAACACCGGGGCUGUCCACGCCGGCAUCGCCGAAGUCCCUCGCCACUGUAGGUCGUUUUCCUUUGGAGAUUAUUCCAGCACAGGAGAGCGUGAGCGGAAAUUAAUGUCCGCAUGCAGUCCCUGCGCUGUGCCAAGUGCUGGACUACGUUACCUGUUUAAUUUAGCCCUUACAACACCAAAGGCAGAUCUACCGGGCAACCGGUCCCCAGUUUGAUGCAACUUAAUUUUCUCACGCUGAAUUGCAGUCUAUUUUCGUUUUGUCAGAGCCAUGCUAAGAGGUUUACAGCAGCCAUUAAUUUAAUGUAGAUAAACUAUCUAUAAACCGACAGAGUGACGUGAGUUAUAUUUAUUCCCUGCCUCUCCGUGUUUAUUAAGAUAACUUAAAAUGCCUUUGAGAUGAGUGGAAUUCAGCGUCAUUUCAUUCACACCUCCCACCACCAUAAUUAACUAGUUUACACUCCCUCACAAUCUCAUUAACCUUUUCCCCGUCUGUCUUUAGUCUUCACAUUCAUUCACCUAAUUCUACUGUUUGAUCCCGCCCAGGUUCUCUUAUUUUUUUUCCCUCCCAGGAUACACUUGAAUCACUGCAGCUCUUGGGGACCUGAAGUCUCCCCUUUCAGUACUUCCAACAUAUGACUACCAAUUGUUAGAGGAGGUGCUGCUUGACAAGGUGACUGUAAUAGCUGCCAUAAGACAGGCAUCCUAAACUAAUUCAUUUCCUAGAUAUCCAGGUACUGGAUAAAAAAAAAAAAAAAGCUUUUUUUUCCCUCUAUUCUUUAACCACUUUCAAGAACUUUCUCAUCUCAGCCUCAAAGUCUAACCAAAUUUCCCUUACCAGAAGUUUGGACUUGCUUGGAUCUGUCCCCCUUUCUUUUUUCCAGUUUAUCUUUGGUAAUGGCACUAUCUGACCUAUGGGUGCCCCACCAUUGUAUUCUGGAAACACUUAUUAACUUGUCUGAUUCACAGCUGGAAAAGAAUUUUGCCUCAGGAUGACUCAAGAAGGGUCUGCAGCAUUUGGGCGCACCCAUACCUGAUUUAGCUAAUACAUACUGAG